rnacentral:lncRNA from 1 species
AUUUUUAUUUUUUAUUAGGUUGGUGGGUUAAAUAUGAUCAUUUAAAUGAGAAAAUGUAUACUAGUGCAAUUUGUAAUCUGGGUGUUAUAACAUCACAACCACAUCUAUGAUUAACUCUAAGGUCACGUUAUUUUGUUUGGCAGUGUUUUGGAAUCAAGUUAUGGCAAAAUUUUGUGUAUAAAAUAUAAUAAUUACAUUUAAAAAGUGCUUAUUUCUGACAAAAA